rnacentral:rRNA from 1 species
UGGGGAAUUGUUCGCAAUGGGCGCAAGCCUGAUCCAGCCAUGCCGCGUGUGUGAAGAAGGCCUUAGGGUUGUAAAACACUUUCAGCGGGGAAGAUGAUGACGGUACCCGCAGAAGAAGCCCCGGCUAACUCCGUGCCAGCAGCCGCGGUAAUACGGAGGGGGCUAGCGUUGUUCGGAAUUACUGGGCGUAAAGGGCGUGUAGGCGGCCUGCCAAGUCAGAUGUGAAAGCCCCGGGCUUAGCCUGGGAACUGCAUUUGAGACUGGCCGGCUAGAGGUUGGAAGAGGAGAGUGGAAUUCCCAGUGUAGAGGUGAAAUUCGUAGAUAUUGGGAAGAACACCAGUGGCGAAGGCGGCUCUCUGGUCCACACCUGACGCUGAGGAGCGAAAGCCAGGGGAGCAAACGGGAUUAGAUACCCCCGUAGUCCCUGAGCGGGCUGGCAAGGCGCAU